UACGGAGGGUGCAAGCGUUAUCCGGAUUGACUGGGCGUAAAGGGCGCGUAGGCGGUUCGUACAGUCAGACGUGAAAUUCCUGGGCUCAACCUGGGGCUGCGUUUGAUACGUGCGGACUUGAGUGCGGAAGAGGGUCGUGGAAUUCCCAGUGUAGAGGUGAAAUUCGUAGAUAUUGGGAAGAACACCGGUGGCGAAGGCGGCGACCUGGUCCGAUACUGACGCUGAGGCGCGAAAGCGUGGGGAGCAAACAGG
rnacentral:rRNA from 1 species